rnacentral:rRNA from 1 species
GAUUAACGCUAGCGGCAGGCCUAAUACAUGCAAGUUGUACGGGAUUAUUGGUAGCAAUACUGAUAUGAGAGUAGCGCACGGGUGCGUAACACGUAUGCAACCUACCUUUAACUGGGGAAUAGCUCACCGAAAGGUGAAUUAACACCGCAUAAAAUCACAGAAGGACAUCCUUUAAUGAUUAAAUCUCCGGAGGUUAAAGAUGGGCAUGCGUCCGAUUAGCAGUUGGCGGGGUAACAGCCCACCAAGGCAACGAUCGGUAGGGGUCUGAGAGGAUGAUCCCCCACACUGGUACUGAGACACGGACCAGACUCC